GUAUAGAUAUAGCUAUCUAGAUGGAGAAUUGAUUGCAUUGCUGCCAUUUUGAAGAGGUGUUUGGAGCAGUGUUUGGAGCAGUGUUUGGAGCAUGGCGAGGUGUUUUGGAGCAGCAUUCAGUGGACCCCAUUCAACACCAAACAACAAGGCAUUGCUUCUCAUAAUUGUUGACAUCCAUUACUCGAGGGGUUUCAGAUGAGAAGAGAAGAUGAUGGGAGGAUGAUGAAGGUCAGGAAAGUCAUCUGACGUCCUGCUGACAUCCACGAUCCGUCCCCAGGGCUCCUGCACACACCGGAGCAAUCAUCACAGAUAAAACGUCCUCACGCUGGGGUUUAUGGGCGCCAUUAUCAGAAAUCGCAUGAGGAAGCAGGAGACGUCGGGACACACUCGGGAUCCUGUUCAGGGAACACUGGAAUACAUCCACGGCAGCGUUUACAAUCAGUUUAGCGUAACUCGACCUACUGGAACGUUUUUGGAUAGCGGGUGGAAACUGGAGAACCAGGAGGAAACCCACAUGGACGCUACGUGAAGCUGUGCAGAGAGAGUAACCUGAGAGAACUCUGUCCUGAAGGUGUCAGAAAACUUAACGUUACAUCUCCUUCUUGGGAAGAAAACGUCACCAUAUCGGCGCUUUUUAAUCCGUUUAUCAUCAGCGGAACGUCUACUCUACACGUCCCGGUGAAUGGGUUGUUACUACAGAAGCGGUAACCGUAUUCGAACGAGUGCAUUUAAUAUUAACGUAAAUUUGCAGCGCUGUCCGAACCGCAGCUCUAGAAAAUGAAUCGACACCUUCUGAACGAUCACAAUCCAGAAUCCAGCAGCGCUGUGGAAUAGAUCAGCUAAAAUAAAACGGAGCGCACGUUCUGAAAAGCGAAUUAAUCAGUCGUCGUUUUUCCUCAGUUUUCAUGCUGGG
ensembl:lncRNA